rnacentral:rRNA from 1 species
UACAGGGGGGGCAAGCGUUUGUUCGGAAUUACUGGGCGUAAAGGGCCAGUAGGCGGCCAACUAAGUCCGACGUGAAAUCCCCAGGCUUAACCUGGGAACUGCGUCGGAUACUGGAUGGCUUGAAUUCGGGAGAGGGAUGCGGAAUUCCAGGUGUAGCGGUGAAAUGCGUAGAUAUCUGGAGGAACACCGGUGGCGAAGGCGGGUCUCUGGGCAGUAACUGACGCUGAGGAGCGAAAGCGUGGGGAGCGAACAGG